GGACUACAGGGGUUUCUAAUCCCGUUUGCUCCCCUAGCUUUCGCGCCUCAGCGUCAGAAGAGGUCCAGUGCGUCGCUUUCGCCACCGGCGUUCCUUCCAAUAUCAACGCAUUUCACCGCUCCACUGGAAGUUCCACACACCCCUACCUCCCUCCAGACCAUCAGUAUCGAAGGCACUUCUACAGUUAAGCUGCAGGAUUUCACCCCCGACUUGAUGGACCGCCUACGCGCCCUUUAAGCCCAGUGAUUCCGAACAACGUUAGGACAGUUCGUCUUACCGCGGCUGCUGGCAC
rnacentral:rRNA from 1 species